CGGAGCGUGGCGCAGCCUGGUAGCGCAUCUGGUUUGGGACCAGAGGGUCGGAGGUUCGAAUCCUCUCGCUCCGACCA
rnacentral:tRNA from 4 species